AACCAUUUUGGAUGUGUUUGCUGCUGGAAGUGACACUUCCUCAAGAACUACGGAAUGGGCAAUGGCAGAGUUGAUGAAGAAUCAAACAGCAAUGAAAAAAGCACAAGAAGAAGUGAGACAUGUUUUUGGUAAAAAAGGAAAAGUGGAUGAAGCAGACCUUCACGAAUUAAAAUAUCUCAAGUUAGUUGUCAAAGAAACCUUGAGACUACAUCCUCCAGUUGCAAUGAUUCCGAGACAAU
rnacentral:misc_RNA from 1 species